GGAAUUCUUUGAGAGUUUAAUGAAGGAUGUGAUUGAGAAGCAAGAGGAAUUGCAGAAGAAGUUUUUGGAAACGCUCGAGAAGCGCGAGAGGGAUAGGUUGAUGAGAGAGGAGGCAUGGAGAGUGCAAGAGAUGGCUAGAUUGAAUAGGGAACAUGAUCUUUUAGUCCAAGAGAGAUCAAUGGCAGCAGCUAAAGACGCAACAAUCAUCGCCUUCUUGCAAAAAAUAACUGAACAGCAAAACACACAAACCCCGAAUAGUACAAAUAACACUUCUCCUUCUCCUUUUCCAAUUGCUCAAAUUCAAUUAAAAUUGUCCGAAAAGCCAUUCAGUACACCACCACAACCACAACCACAACCAUCAGCUACCGCGGUAUCACUGCCAAUGACAAUACAUACACCAACACCAGCACCACCACAGACACUGACAUUACCUGUAGUAUCAUCAAAAUCACUUGAACCUCCAAAAUCCGAUAAUGGUGGUGAGAAUUUCUCUCCAGCAAGCUCGUCAAGAUGGCCGAAAGAAGAAAUCGAAGCAUUGAUAAGUCUCCGAACCUGUUUAGAUCUAAAAUACCAAGAAAAUGGACCGAAAGGACCACUGUGGGAAGAAAUUUCAUCUGGAAUGAGAAAGAUAGGAUACAACAGGAAUGCAAAGAGAUGCAAGGAAAAAUGGGAG
rnacentral:misc_RNA from 1 species